rnacentral:rRNA from 1 species
AUUGAACGCUGGCGGCAUGCCUUACACAUGCAAGUCGAACGGCAGCACGGGUGCUUGCACCUGGUGGCGAGUGGCGAACGGGUGAGUAAUACAUCGGAACAUGUCCUGUAGUGGGGGAUAGCCCGGCGAAAGCCGGAUUAAUACCGCAUACGAUCUACGGAUGAAAGCGGGGGACCUUCGGGCCUCGCGCUAUAGGGUUGGCCGAUGGCUGAUUAGCUAGUUGGUGGGGUAAAGGCCUACCAAGGGGACGAUCAGUAGAUGGUCUGAGAGGACGACCAGCCACACUGGGACUGAGACACGGCCCAGACUCCUACGGGAGGCAGCAGUGGGGAAUUUUGGACAAUGGGCGAAAGCCUGAUCCAGCAAUGCCGCGUGUGUGAAGAAGGCCUUCGGGUUGUAAAGCACUUUUGUCCGGAAAGAAAUCCUUGGCUCUAAUACAGUCGGGGGAUGACGGUACCGGAAGAAUAAGCACCGGCUAACUACGUG